rnacentral:tRNA from 1 species
GUGACUAUGUCAGAAUAGUAUGAGUUAGCUUUAAGCGCUAAUUAUGGGGGUUAUCCCCCCUAGUCACU